AUUGAACGCUGGCGGUAGGCCUAACACAUGCAAGUCGAACGCGAAAGUCCUUCGGGAUGAGUAGAGUGGCGGACGGGUGAGUAACGCGUAGGAAUCUAUCCUGUAGUGGGGGGUAACGUUUCGAAAGGAACGCUAAUACCGCAUACGCCCCAAGGGGGAAAGCGGGGGAUCUUCGGACCUCGUGCUAUAGGAGAAGCCUGCGUCGGAUUAGCUAGUUGGUGAGGUAAAGGCUCACCAAGGCGACGAUCCGUAGCUGGUCUGAGAGGAUGAUCAGCAACACCGGAACUGAGACACGGUCCGGACUCCUACGGGAGGCAGCAGUGGGGAAUAUUGCGCAAUGGGCGAAAGCCUGACGCAGCCAUACCGCGUGUGUGAAGAAGGCCUUCGGGUUGUAAAGCACUUUCAGUGGGGAGGAAAAGCUGGUGGCUAAUAUCCAUCGGCCGUGACGCUACCCACAGAAGAAGCACCGGCUAAUUCCGUGCCAGCAGCCGCGGUAAAAC
rnacentral:rRNA from 1 species